ensembl:lncRNA
UGGCGGCAGUUACAACCGGCAUAUUCCCAGUUGGUGGCUUUAGCAUUUAGAAAUGAGCAUCUGUUCUUCUUCCCUAUUGCAAAGUGGUUUUAACUCAGAGGUGUUAAAAAUAUCUUUUUGCUAACCUUACCCACGAGAGGAAGAGCAACCUUUGGGUAGGAGUGGAUGAGAACAUCACCAGCGCAUGAGGGUUGGCAGCAUGGCCAUUCCAUGGAACCAGAUGCAUACUCUUCUCCGCUCUUUUUCUAAUGGCAGUGAAUAUAGCUGCAGAGUAUGUGAUGUUUCUCACACCCUAAAACCAUCAGAGGGUCCCCAAAUCACAGCCUGCUCCAUGUGCACAAAAGAAUAUGGUUUCUUUUCAUUGAGAGAACUCCAGUGAGGUGCUUUCCUUGAGGUCAAGUUUAUGUUAUUCCAAGAGUGCAAGUAAAUUUGGAAUUUCCUGACUUUUCUUCUUAAACCCCUUUAAAGGUGAUUUAUCUAUCCAAUUUCAACUCCUUGAAAUCUUACUUGGUCUCCAAAAUUGUGCAAAAAAUUACUAGAUAACAAAAAAGCCUCACAACCCAAAAAACCAGAACAACGUCAUUGGCACAACUGAAUUAGACCUGAAGCAAAAUUAGUAUCUGCAAUGAAUAAUUUUAAGCUGCGAUGAUACCUCAGAAGAGUGUAACAAGCACAUGUGAGAAGGUCACAGCACAUCUUAUUUUAUGGCAUAUAUUCAGAAUCUAUUCAGAGCUAUGGAUGGUAAAGAAAGCCCCAGGAGAUACCCUAUUGGGUAGAGUGCAGAAAAUGACCAUAAAAACCAUCUGAGUUGACCAAAGAGUGGAUGUGUGUGGGUGUUAUGAGUGCAGUGCCACCAGCCACUGCUAAAGAUUUCACAUCUGUAUUACAUCUUCCAAACAACAGUAUGGCUGGAAAGCAUCUCAAGUUGCAAUCCCCUUCAUUUACCUGAACUGGAAAAGGCAUUAUGGGCAGUAACACAGAUAUCAGCAACUCCAGUUUUUAAAGGACCGCAGGAGGGAUUCAGAUAAAUUACCAUUCUCCUAUGUCUCUAAAUCUCAUUACUGUUUCCACGAGCUUUCAAUUUUUAACUGGAAGCACUUCCACAGACACUUUACUCAAAAAUGUCUUUUUAGAAAAUUAUGAUAAUUGAAUUGUCCACAGAGAAUGUCUGCUUUCAGAUGUUGAUGAUUUCUCCUUAUUCUUUGCUUAUAAGUUAGCUGUGAUUUGUAAGGCUCAUGAAUCAGGAAACCCAUUAAGGGAGCAAUAUAGACUUGGAUAAUUAUGCCUAACAUGGAGCCACCGUGAUGGCAAUGACAGCUGCCAUAUGUUCUGCUUAUCUGGGCAACUUGAAAGCUAAAGGAUGGUGUUGUAAGACAGAGAAGAAAGAGAUACUGUUAUGAUUUCUGCUUGUAGGAAUGAGGAAGAAAAAUUAUUGUUCAUAAGCCGCCAUGCGGAUAUUCAAAAUGCAACAUUUCAGCAGUCAGUGUUCUUAGGUGCCCUUGUCUGACUGUUCUUUGAAAUAUAAUUGGACUCUCUGCAUGCAGUUCCUCCUCAAAGUAUGGAAGCAAGUGUUUAAGCUUGCUUGAGGAUUAAGGAAAAUCUAAGUUUCAGAGGAGGUGGCAUUGUGUGAUGAAGCAGAAAAUUGUUGGAAGUAGAAAUCUAAGUUUUCCUGUCUCUGCCAUUUAACACAAUGUUCAUAGCAAAGUUGUCCAAAAUACUGGAUUACAAAUUGUGUUUAUUCCUACUGAUGUAUCUCUUUUUGUAGUUUGACUUAAUACAUUUUAAAUGUUCAGAUUUGUGCAAAAGCAUGCUGAGGAUUUUUUUAUAUUUAUUUAAGUGGAAAGAAACCUCUCAAGAAGUGUGAGUGUACAGGUUGUGUGUGCCAUUUGUUAUAGUUAGAGCACAUUGACAUCAGCCCUAGUACUGAUGUAGUUAUAAUAGUAAAAAUAAGUAUUUCAUUAGGAUAUAUGUUGUGGUAGUUGAAAUAUGAUAUAGGCUAUACUGAGAGAAACAAUUUUUAUGUCAGUUUAUGGUGUUUUUGUCUAUCGUUUACUACUUCAACUGUGUUAGAGAAAUGUGAAUAUAAAAUUACAUUCUGAGAUUUUGCCCUAACAAUAUUUGCUAAGAGAAGCAAUGAUAAUCCAUAUGCAUCCACAUUUAUUGUUUGAUAUAACAUUAACUCAUUCUUAGUUUUCUGCAGAAAAGGAGCUAACUAAAGACACUCUCAUUAAUGGUGAAGUCCCUAUUAUGACUUCAUGGUUAUCAUCACAACAGCCAAUUUAGAAUCCUCUUUAUUGCUGAGAUUUCAAACAGCCAGGCACAGAUAAACAAAAUUGCUCCUCCAAAUUAGAUAAAUGGAAUUUAAAUUAAUGAAAAUGGGGGGAUAGAGUUCCCUUAUACUGAUGACCUAAUGCUUUUUGUGACUAGGUCUAGGACCAGCCCACACCUGCACUGGCUUUUUCUCUUUGUAAUGUAGGAGUCAAUGUUGAGAAAAACAAGCAGGAUGUAAAAUUAACUCUUUUAUGGAAAAGCUUUUACUUGCACUCCCAGGAACAUAAUAACUUUCUUUUGGAAAUCUCAAAACUCUAAUGAAAAAAUAUUAUUCUCUAUGCAACUCUAUUUCCUUUAUGAAGCCCAAAUGAUGUAUAAAAUUAUCUUGACCCAUUUUCCUUCAAAAUCUGGAAAGUAAAGGAAUGAAGGAGCUCACUUAUGUCUUUGGUCACAUCACUGUGCUAUAAACAUGUUGUUAAAAAUAAUUAAAUAUUGUAAACAGGGACAGACUUCAUGUUAGGAAAAUGUAUAGGGAGUUACAAGACUUGUCACCAUAUAGCUGCGUGAAUUUUCCCAUUCUGAUUGGAAAUAAAAAAAGUCAUCACACACAAGAAUUUUUCUUAUGUAUGUCUUGUUUUCAAUAUGUUUCCUAUUGCAUAUCUUGGGAAACUUGUAUGUAGUUUAGGAUUUUUAGUCUUAAAUGUGUAAAAGUGAAAUCUGCAAGUAAACAGCAUUUUUUGUAGUCCAGGUCAGGGGCCCCCAGCACAAGAAGGAUCCAGAGCUUUGGCAACAAGUCCAGAAGAGGCCAUGAGGAUGAUCAGAGGGCUGGAGUACCUCUUCUAUGAAGACUGAGGCAGCUGGUCUUGUUCAGCCUGGAGAAGAGAAGGCUCUGGGAAGACCUCACUGUGGCCUUGCAGUGCUUAAACAGAGAUUACAGGCAGGAGGAGGUCCAACAUUUUGCAUAACUGAUACUGACGAGAUAAAAGGGAAUGUUUUUUUAAAUGAAACAGGAGUAUUUUAUAUUAGAUAUUAGGAGGAAAUUCUUCACUUGUGAUGAGGUCCUGGCACAGGCUGCCCAGAGAAGCUCUGUGUGUCCCAUCCCUGGAAACAGUCAAGGCCAGGCUGGAUGGGGCCCUGUUCUAACCCGAACUGGGGGGUGGCAAGCAGUCCAUGACAGGGAGUUGGAGCUGGAUGAACUUUAAGGUCCCUUCGAAUUAAAGCCAUUCUAUGAUUCUAUGAGAAAAAAGAAAAAAAAAAAAAAAAGAAUAGUCUAGAGAUCUUUCAAAUAUUAACAAUUUUAAAA